UACGUAGGGUGCGAGCGUUGUCCGGAAUUAUUGGGCGUAAAGGGCUCGUAGGCGGUUUGUCACGUCGGGAGUGAAAACACGGGGCUUAACUCCGUGCCUGCUUCCGAUACGGGCAGACUAGAGGUAUGCAGGGGAGAAUGGAAUUCCUGGUGUAGCGGUGAAAUGCGCAGAUAUCAGGAGGAACACCGGUGGCGAAGGCGGUUCUCUGGGCAUUACCUGACGCUGAGGAGCGAAAGUGUGGGGAGCGAACAGG
rnacentral:rRNA from 1 species